AGAGUUUGAUCCUGGCUCAGGACGAACGCUGGCGGCGUGCUUAACACAUGCAAGUCGAGCGAGGACCGCACCUUCGGGUGUGGAGCCGAGCGGCGAACGGGUGAGUAACACGUGAGCAACCUACCCCUGGCACCGGGAUAGCCCCGGGAAACUGGGAUUAAUACCGGAUACGACCACUUCCCGCAUGGGAUGGUGGUGGAAAGGUUCCCCCUUGUGGGGUUCCGGCCAGGGAUGGGCUCGCGGCCCAUCAGCUAGUUGGCGGGGUAACGGCCCACCAAGGCGAUGACGGGUAGCCGGCCUGAGAGGGCGGUCGGCCACACUGGGACUGAGACACGGCCCAGACUCCUACGGGAGGCAGCAGUGGGGAAUCUUGCGCAAUGGGCGGAAGCCUGACGCAGCGACGCCGCGUGGGGGAUGAAGGCCUUCGGGUUGUAAACCUCUUUCAGCAGGGACGAAGGUGACGUGUACCUGCAGAAGAAGCGCCGGCCAACUACGUGCCAGCAGCCGCGGUAAUACGUAGGGCGCGAGCGUUGUCCGGAGUUACUGGGCGUAAAGGGCUCGUAGGCGGCUUGUCGCGUCGGCUGUGAAAGCCCACGGCUCAACCGUGGAAUUGCAGUCGAUACGGGCAGGCUAGAGGGCGGCAGAGGGGAGUGGAAUUCCCGGUGUAGCGGUGAAAUGCGCAGAUAUCGGGAGGAACACCGGUGGCGAAGGCGGCUCCCUGGGCCGUCCCUGACGCUGAGGAGCGAAAGCGUGGGGAGCGAACAGGAUUAGAUACCCUGGUAGUCCACGCCGUAAACGUUGGGCGCUAGGUGUGGGGAUCUUUUGUGAUCUCCGUGCCGUAGCUACGCAUUAGCGCCCGCCU
rnacentral:rRNA from 1 species